rnacentral:rRNA from 1 species
UGGCCUACGGGGCGCAGCAGUAGGGAAUCUUCCACAAUGGACGAAAGUCUGAUGGAGCAACGCCGCGUGAGUGAAGAAGGGUUUCGGCUCGUAAAGCUCUGUUGGUAGUGAAGAAAGAUAGAGGGAGUAACUGGCCUUUAUUUGACGGUAAUUACUUAGAAAGUCACGGCUAACUACGUGGCAGCAGCCGCGGUAAUACGGAGGUGGCCAGCGUUGUCCGGUAUUAUUGGG